GGGAUUGCCCUAGUAACGGCGAGUGAAGCGGCAACAGCUCAAAUUUGAAAUCUGGCCCUCGGGUCCGAGUUGUAAUUUGUAGAGGAUGCUUUUGGUGAGGUGCCUUCCGAGUUCCCUGGAACGGGACGCCAUAGAGGGUGAGAGCCCCGUCUGGUUGGACACCGAGCCUCUGUAAAGCUCCUUCGACGAGUCGAGUAGUUUGGGAAUGCUGCUCUAAAUGGGAGGUAUAUGUCUUCUAAAGCUAAAUACCGGCCAGAGACCGAUAGCGCACAAGUAGAGUGAUCGAAAGAUGAAAAGCACUUUGAAAAGAGAGUUAAAAAGUACGUGAAAUUGUUGAAAGGGAAGCGCUUAUGACCAGACUUGGGCUUGGUUGAUCAUCCUGGGUUCUCCCUGGUGCACUCUUCCAGUUCAGGCCAGCAUCAGUUCGCUGCGGGGGAUAAAAGUUUUGGGAAUGUGGCUCCCUCGGGAGUGUUAUAGCCCAUUGCAUAAUACCCUGCUCCGGACUGAGGUUCGCGCAUCUGCAAGGAUGCUGGCGUAAUGGUCAUCAGCGACCCGUCUUGAAACACGGACCAAGGAGUCGUCUUCGUAUGCGAGUGUUCGGGUGUUAAACCCCUACGCGUAAUGAAAGUGAACGCAGGUGAGAGCUUCGGCGCAUCAUCGACCGAUCCUGAUGUUCUCGGAUGGAUUUGAGUAAGAGCAUACGGGGCCGGACCCGAAAGAAGGUGAACUAUGCCUGUAUAGGGUGAAGCCAGAGGAAACUCUGGUGGAGGCUCGCAGCGGUUCUGACGUGCAAAUCGAUCGUCAAAUAUGGGCAUGGGGGCGAAAGACUAAUCGAACCUUCUAGUAGCUGGUUUCCCCAAU
rnacentral:rRNA from 1 species